rnacentral:rRNA from 1 species
GUGGGGAAUUUUGGACAAUGGGCGCAAGCCUGAUCCAGCAAUGUCGCGUGCAGGAAGAAGGCCUUCGGGUUGUAAACUGCUUUUGUACGGAACGAAACGGUCCUGGUUAAUACCUGGGGCUAAUGACGGUACCGUAAGAAUAAGCACCGGCUAACUACGUGCCAGCAGCCGCGGUAAUACGUAGGGUGCGAGCGUUAAUCGGAAUUACUGGGCGUAAAGCGUGCGCAGGCGGUGCUGUAAGACAGGCGUGAAAUCCCCGGGCUCAACCUGGGAAUUGCGCUUGUGACUGCAGUGCUGGAGUACGGCAGAGGGGGAUGGAAUUCCGCGUGUAGCAGUGAAAUGCGUAGAUAUGCGGAGGAACACCGAUGGCGAAGGCAGUCCCCUGGGCCUGUACUGACGCUCAUGCACGAAAGCGUGGGGAGCAAACAGGAUUAGAAACCCUUGUAGUCC